UUUUUUCGGGGUUUUGUCUGCAGGAGGCCAUUGCUAUCGGAGUCCGAUUUAGCCAUGCUAGUUGUGCGGGUUUAGGCCCGCAGCGGAAAGCUCAGUAACACGUGGCCAAGCUACCCUGUGGACGGGAAUACUCUCGGGAAACUGAGGCUAAUCCCCGAUAACGCUUUGCUCCUGGAAGGGGCAAAGCCGGAAACGCUCCGGCGCCACAGGAUGCGGCUGCGGUCGAUUAGGUAGACGGUGGGGUAACGGCCCACCGUGCCUAUAAUCGGUACGGGUUGUGAGAGCAAGAGCCCGGAGACGGAAUCUGAGACAAGAUUCCGGGCCCUACGGGGCGCAGCAGGCGCGAAACCUUUACACUGUACGAAAGUGCGAUAAGGGGACUCCGAGUGUGAAGGCAUAGAGCCUUCACUUUUGUACACCGUAAGGUGGUGUACGAAUAAGGACUGGGCAAGACCGGUGCCAGCCGCCGCGGUAAUACCGGCAGUCCGAGUGAUGGCCGAUAUUAUUGGGCCUAAAGCGUCCGUAGCUGGCUGAACAAGUCCGUUGGGAAAUCUGUCCGCUUAACGGGCAGGCGUCCAGCGGAAACUGUUCAGCUUGGGACCGGAAGACCUGAGGGGUACGUCUGGGGUAGGAGUGAAAUCCUGUAAUCCUGGACGGACCGCCGGUGGCGAAAGCGCCUCAGGAGAACGGAUCCGACAGUGAGGGACGAAAGCUAGGGUCUCGAACCGGAUUAGAUACCCGGGUAGUCCUAGCUGUAAACGAUGUCCGCUAGGUGUGGCGCAGGCUACGAGCCUGCGCUGUGCCGUAGGGAAGCCGAGAAGCGGACCGCCUGGGAAGUACGUCUGCAAGGAUGAAACUUAAAGGAAUUGGCGGGGGAGCACUACAACCGGAGGAGCCUGCGUUUAUGAUCACACCCCCGGAAA
rnacentral:rRNA from 1 species